CUUAUCUAAGCUUGUCCAGCUGGUACGUGGCUGAGCCAGGAUUCAAUGUGAAUCCCAGUCUGUGUGAGCCCCUGAACGUUCUGGUAUAGCCGGCAGCAUCCCUGGCCUGGAAUAAAACGGUGCUGCAUUGAGCAAGAGGGGAGAGGAAAAUACUUACUGGCCGAAGGUGCAGGGGAGAAGUUCAAAGGGAGCAGCCCUGGGAGGAGCGUGCUGAACUCGCAUGGGGUCAGCGAAGGCUUCUUGGAACUGGAGGGUCUGUUGGAGCCAGUUCAAACUGUAGAUUGUGAGUUGUCUCCACUUUCUCAACCAGAGAAGGAGGGUCUGAGUGAGGAUUUGGGCCAAACAGCAGUUGCUGUCUACACAGCACAGAGACCCUUCCUUUAAGAAGAUUCAGGGAGCCGGGCAGAGCACAUGUGGUGUGAGAGCUCACUGCAGAAACCACGGCUCCCCUCCCUCAUCAGAUGGACAACCAGGCGGCCCACCGCCUCGGAGCCCUGGGCUUGCAACACUCACAGAACAGCAACUGGCCUCCCGCAGAAGUGAGAAGGAAACAACCCCACCCCCAAGCCCCAGGCUGUGGAGGGGCCUGGCCAUCCACGAGGGCCAGAGGGUGUCCUGGCUGAGAGAGGAGGUGGCGCAGGCACCAGGUGCUAGGGUGCCAGGGCCUCCUGAGAAGGAACAGGUGUGAAACAGGGCAAUUAGCUCAGGGGGACAGGCCCCCUGGACCUGAUCGAGGAAGCCACCAGGAUUACAUCAUCUGCUGGCCUGGGACUCCUCAGAACGACUGUACCCUCACGGAAAGAGCAGUCUUCUCUGGCUUUUCGGGCUCGAAUCCUGGCUUUGGCAACUCCUGGCUGUCCUGUCUGGACAAGUCGCUUACACAUCCUGAUCAUCAGUGUCCCUUUCAUCCAAUGAGGAUAAUAAUACACGCUCUUCAUCCUUUCA